rnacentral:rRNA from 1 species
GAAAGGGAACGGCGUAACUACGUGCCAGCAGCCGCGGUAAUACGUAGGUCCCGAGCGUUAUCCGGAAUUAUUGGGCGUAAAGGGGCAACGUAGGCGGACAAAUAAAGUUUAGAUGUCAAAUAAUGAUGGCUCAACCCAAUCAAGAAGGCGUUGAAAACUAGUUUAUCUAGAAUCUCGGAGAGGUAAGUGGAAUUCCAUGUGUAGCGGUGGAAUGCGUAGAUAUAUGGAGGAACACCAAUGGCGAAGGCAGCUUACUGGACGAAGAUUGACGCUGAGGUGCGAAAGCGUGGGUAGCAAACAGGAUUAGAUACCCUGGUAG